GAUGAACGCUGGCGGCGUGCCUAAUACAUGCAAGUCGAGCGAACGGACGAGAAGCUUGCUUCUCUGAUGUUAGCGGCGGAUGGGUGAGUAACACGUGGAUAACUUACCUAUAAGACUGGGAUAACUUCGGGAAACCGGAGCUAAUACCGGAUAAUAUUUUGAACCGCAUGGUUCAAAAGUGAAAGACGGUCUUGCUGACACUUAUAGAUGGAUCCGCGCCGCAUUAGCUAGUUGGUAAGGUAACGGCUUACCAAGGCAACGAUGCAUAGCCGACCUGAGAGGGUGAUCGGCCACACUGGAACUGAGACACGGUCCAGACUCCUACGGGAGGCAGCAGUAGGGAAUCUUCCGCAAUGGGCGAAAGCCUGAUGGAGCAACGCCGCGUGAGUGAUGAAGGUCUUCGGAUCGUAAAGCUCUGUUAUUAGGGAAGAAGAUAUGUGUAAUUAACUGUGCACAUCUUGACGGUACCUAAUCAGAAAGCCCCGGCUAACUACGUG
rnacentral:rRNA from 1 species